ACGAGUGCUCACUUUCCCGGCGACUCGACUCGAAAAUAAAUCUCCACCCGAAGUGGACCUAAUCCCGGCAAGAAAUUGAGCUGCAGAGUGAAUAGAGAUUGAUAGAGUCUCCUGUUGCUCUAAAACGAGCGGCGGCGAGGGAGAGAGAUGGCCGGAUCAACGAGAACAGCCGGCGCUUUUGCCGUAACUCCGCACAAAAUUUCCGUUUGCAUUCUCCUGCUGAUAUAUGCUCCAGAUGUCUCUCCCCUUCCCUUUCUCUUCCGUUUCUCAGCACAACCGACUUGCCCUCUACUUGCUGCUCUCUCUCACUAAGGCAUGCUAUGAUUAUGUAUGAGAUGAAGCUGGAAGAGCUCAUCAACAAAUUGAGAGAAGUUGGGGAAGACUUGGAUGUGUGGCUAGCUGAGCAUUUAACUAAAUAGAUUUUCAUCUUUGUAUUCACCUGAUGAUCUAUUGAAUUUUUUUACUGACAUGCGAGGAAUAUUUGGAAGCCUUGAUUCAGGAGCUGUGCUAGAUGAUCAGAUUGUUUUGGUUCCAAACAGCAACUUGGGAGUGUUUGUUCGUCGUUGCAUUUUGGCUUUUAACCUUUUAUCGUUCGAGCUAGUGCAGGGACUGAGGGAUUUGACCUUGUUCCUCCUUCCACUGGUUGUAGCAUGUAUGGAAGUGUCCUGGAUUCUGUCUAAGGCAAGCUUCAGAUGAGCUUUCAAGCUUUGGAGUACCAUGAACUAGCAGCUGAAGCUUUGUAUUUAAUGGCGAUGGUAUACGACAAGCUGGGACGUCGUGAAGAGAGUGGAGAACCCUCAAGACGUGGAACCAAACAUUGCAUGAGAAUCUGUGGCCAUAGCUAAUAAGCUUACUCAGUAAAGCUUGCAACUUAAGUUGUAACAUGUUCCUUAAGACUUGUUCUAGUGAUGUCUAACUUUACGUCACGAUCGACACUAAGUAGGUUGCAACCUUAUACUAACUCUGAAAAUGUAGGAGACUGAAAAACCAUCGAGGUGAUUUGAAAUUCUUUUGUACAGUAUAUGCUAAUUCAACGCAAUCUCUGUU